rnacentral:lncRNA from 12 species
AUGAGCUCUGAUCAUGGCCAUCAGAAACGAACUCUUCCUCCAACGCCAUCCCCUCCUUCCCACUCCUCCCAAAGGCGACUCACCAUCCCCAGGGCUCCUCCACCACCCCCCAACUUAGCCAUCUCUUUGGGGGGGGUCUCUUUGGCUGGGCCAUUCACAGGCACCUCAGCCUUCCUUCCCCUCCUCUGCUCAUCACCAUCUCCCCCAACCCCCCGUCCCCCAGGGGAAAGCCAAAGGAUGGCUGCAGUGAAAGUGAGGAUGAUGAUGAUGAUAGUGAUGAAGAGUGCCGCCGGCAGUGAGACUUCUCAUCUCCUCAUCCCUUCUGCCACCAAGGCGCCAGCCCGGGCGAUGAAACCGCUAAUGAGCCCAAGGUUCUGAGGAGCCCAGCACCUAAUUCAAACCAGACAGAUAACAGCCCCAAAAGCCCCUGUCCAAGUGCUGAGAAUGUGCCCCCGAAACAAGGCUGGGGUGGGUGUCCCCGCCCCCAACCCUGCUGCCCAUCCAUCCAGCAGCCCAGCUGGGUCCGGUCAGGGUGGACGAGAGGAGAGGGGGCGAAAGGUAACUGGAAACAAGGUGAGAAUAGACCCACCUGCCAGGGGUGGUCCUGUUGUGUCCUUGCCAGGGAACAUUCUGGAGCAUCACCCCAGGCCAGUCCCUGUUUCAAUCAGCAUUUCACGUUGGGGGAUAUAGAGCCUGCUAAACUUUUAAGGAGCCUUUCCCCCUAUUCUAUCUACCUUUGAGCAUUUUAAGGAUUUUUAUUUUAGCUCACUAUUUCUUUUUCUUUUUUUUUUUAAGGGGGGGCGGGGUAGGGGUAGAGGGAGAGGGUGAGAAAGAAUCUUUGGCAGGCUCCGUGCAUGGAACCUGACACAGGGCUUGAUCUGAUGACCCUGAGAUCAUGACCUGAGCUGAAAUCAAAAUUGGACUCUUUUUUUUUUCAAAGAUUUUAUUUAUUUAUUCAUGAGAGACACACAGAGAGAGGCAGAGACACAGGCAGAGGGAGAAGCAGGCUCCAUGCAGGGAGCCUGAUGUGGGACUCGAUCCCAGGACUCUGGGGUCACUCCCUGGGCUGAAGGCAGGUGCUCAACUGCUGAGCCACCCAGGCGUCCCAGGAUUAGACUCUUAACAGACUGAGCCACCCAGGUGGCCCUUGCUCACUUUUUCUUAAAGCACUUGAUCAUGUGAAUAAUCAGCUAGAAUUGUAUCUUGGUCGCUAUACUGUGAGUUUACUCUUUUCCAAGUAUUUUGACUCCCUUUUAGGUGCCUUAGAAGCACGGUGGUGCAGGGGUGCCGGAGUAGGGCUACCUGGGUCUGAGUCCCAGCGUCACCAGUAGUAGCUGUGUGAUCUUGGGCAAAGAAUUAACCUCCCUGUGCACCAGUUUCCCAUCUUUCAAAUGGAGAUCGUGAGAGUCUGUCGUCCAAACCUAAACGAGAGCCAUCAGUGAGAUGGUACAUGUAAAACCCUUGCCACUGAGUAAACAUCGAACAACUUAGCUGUUUUGUCUACUUUGACACAUUUUAUUUGUUUAAGACUCAGUAUCAACUGAGCGUUUCCUGGAGUCGGGUGCUGGUCUGGGAACUAAGAUAAUGGUGAACACGACAAACAGGUCCCGGCCUUCCCAAUGCUCCCUGUGCAGAAGGAAAGAUGGGCCAGCAAAGAGAUGAUUACAGCGCAGGGUAUCAGGGGUGAGGGGGCAAAAGUCCAUGGCAGUGCACAGCAAAGGCACCCAGCCAGUCAUCAGCAAUCAGAGAGGGCUCCCUGGAGGAGGUGACGUCCCAGUUAAGAUUCAAAGGACAAGCAGACAUCAGGCAGCACAGAGGGACUGGGUAUCCCGGUGGAGGGGUUUGCAAAGGCUCAGAAGCAGGAAACACCAGGAUGCUCUUAAGAGUGACCAGUGCUGGAAAGUCGGGUGUGGGGACAGUCAGCUGGCCAGGCCAUGGAGGGAGCCACGAGGGGCCUCCCAAGCCUCUGAUGCUGGGCUGAGGAGCUUUUUUUUUGGGGGGGGGGGCUGAGGAGCUUAAACACUCUUCCGAGGUUGGUUUGAACCUCAUCUUUGAGCUCCUCCUUCCUCACCUAUAAAGCCGGGGUGUCUCGAAAGCCGUUGGAUGACGUGACGCCAGCCCCAUGCCCCACACAGGCCGGCCACGUGGCAACAGUGCCACACGUGCAGACUGCAAGGAGCACUGACAUUCCAGUCUAGCAGAAUUAUCGGGAUGUAGGCAAGGUUCUCAGCACGUGAGAAGAGGGCACGGUCGUGCAGAACCUGGGUUCUGCAGCCAGACUGCGUGGGCUCCUGUCCCGGACCCUCCCCCUGAGACCCUCACCCCAAGAGGGGACGAGCGACCCCACCUCCCGAGCCUCCUCUUGGGGUCCGUUACAUCGGCGCCAACCCCUCGUGAUGUGAGGAUGAAGAUCGUGGCAAGGGCCUAAAGUGUUUCUGGAGGGUGACAGGUGCUCGGAGAAACUAAAAAGGCGGCGAUUAUGUGCACUUCCCCAUCACAACCCUACCUGCCUCUCGCCCCAGUUACACACAGUUACACAACCUUCGCCUUCCGAUUACGCACAAGACUGUUUGAAUAACUAGUUUAUCAGCCACCAGGUUUGUUUGCUUUCAAGAUGGUAGGAAUAAAUCCAACUCCAAUCUCA